UAGCUUAACCAGUGUCUAUUUCCUGC
rnacentral:piRNA from 1 species